GAAGGCAAGCGGAGGAAUUAAUAAGGAGUACAGUCAUGUGGAGGACCUGUGUUGAAGGGUGUAACGUUUUGGGAGGCUUGGUCUUGCCAGCCCAUGGGAAAUUUUACCAGUCAAAUGAGAAAAAAACAAAAAAAAAGUGGACGGACCUUCGGAAACACUCGAGUAACCAGAUGAUGAUUAAAUUCAGAAGGCGAGACGCAUGCUCCUUCAUCAUGCUCCUCACCUCGACUUAACUUUUUCCACCUGAGAUCUUGGGUUUUGGGGUGAUACUGGUCGACCUCUGACCAGAGCUGAGCCUUGCAGUCGAGGGCGGUGCAGCUGCCAUACCAGGCGGUGACGCAGCCAGUCAGGAUACUCUCGAUAGUGCAUCUGUCGAAGUUGCAGAGCAUCCUAGGGUCUAUGCUGAACUUCCUCAGCCCGUGAAAGAAGAAGAGCCGUCGUCUCACCACCUUGACGAUGAUGCCGGUGUAGUGUGACCAGGUCAGAUCCUCACUGAUGUCUGAUGUACACCCUGAGGAACCUGAAGCUGCUGGAUCUCUCCACUGCUCUCCCACUAAUAUGGAUCGGGGGUGUGUCCUCCUCCCUGCAGCUCCCUGAAGUCCACUAUCAUCUCCUUAGUUUUGCUGAUGUGGAGAUGGAGCUAGUUGUCCUGGCACCACGUUGUCAGGGCUCCCACCUCCUCUUUGUAUAGGCUCUCUUGUUGUUACCUGUGAUCAGGGCGAUGACGGUUGUGCAGUGGUGUUUUCCCCCGGAGGCCAAGGGAAGCCAGGUUUCUCCUUUUUUUCCGACUGUUUGUCAUUUUAAUAAAAACACUUUCCUUCG